rnacentral:rRNA from 1 species
AUGCCCCCACGCAUGAACCCUAGGAUUCAGCGUUGGCAAUGCUCCUGUUCUCCCUACCCCUCCUCCUACCGCCACCUGCUCCAUGUCGUGCUCUACUUGCCUUGCCUUCUCCAAAGCGCUACCUACUCUAGCCGUCGGUGGGAUGGAGAGGCCUUACUAGGUUCUAGCUCCACGACAACAAGGGGUAAAGCUGGAUUUGGUGGGGGGACAGCAACAACAUUGACAUACGGGCAGUAUAAAGAAGGUAGGAUGGACUUUUCUUCAAUUGUUGGUGUGAUGACUUGCCUUCUGAAUUGUAUGGUGAGAAGGAUGGUGUCGCAGUUGUGGAUGUAG